GACGAACGCUGGCGGCGUGCUUAACACAUGCAAGUCGAACGGAAAGGCCCCGCUUUUGUGGGGUGCUCGAGUGGCGAACGGGUGAGUAACACGUGAGUAACCUGCCCUUGACUUUGGGAUAACUCCAGGAAACUGGGGCUAAUACCGGAUAGGAGCUCCUGCUGCAUGGUGGGGGUUGGAAAGUUUCGGCGGUUGGGGAUGGACUCGCGGCUUAUCAGCUUGUUGGUGGGGUAGUGGCUUACCAAGGCUUUGACGGGUAGCCGGCCUGAGAGGGUGACCGGCCACAUUGGGACUGAGAUACGGCCCAGACUCCUACGGGAGGCAGCAGUGGGGAAUAUUGCACAAUGGGCGGAAGCCUGAUGCAGCAACGCCGCGUGCGGGAUGACGGCCUUCGGGUUGUAAACCGCUUUCGCCUGUGACGAAGCGUGAGUGACGGUAAUGGGUAAAGAAGCACCGGCUAACUACGUG
rnacentral:rRNA from 1 species